UACAGAGGGGGCAAGCGUUGUUCGGAAUUACUGGGCGUAAAGGGCGCGUAGGCGGCCUGCUAAGUCGAACGUGAAAUCCCAGGGCUUAACCCUGGGCCUGCAGUGGGUACGGGCAAACUAGAGUGCGGUAGGGGAGAUCGGAAUUCCUGGUGUAGCGGUGAAAUGCGCAGAUAUCAGGAGGAACACCGGUGGCGAAGGCGGAUCUCUGGGCCGUAACUGACGCUGAGGAGCGAAAGCAUGGGUAGCGAACAGG
rnacentral:rRNA from 1 species